rnacentral:lncRNA from 1 species
UAAAAUAUGUUUUUAAACUAUGUAUGUGGUUCCCAUUUUAUUUCUGUGUGUUUUUUUUUAAGAGAUGGGGUCUCACUGUGUUGCCCAGGCUGGUCUCAAACUCCGGGGAUCAACUGAUCCUCCCUUCUCAGCCUCCCAAAGUGCUGGGACUACAGGUGUGAGCCACUAUGCCCCGCCCAUUUUAUUUCUAUUUGACAGCUCUGUCCUAGACCUUUCCCUAAGCAUUUAGUAAUCUAUGUAUAUGAAUGUGUAUCUGUAUGAGAUACUUUUCUGUUCACAUAUAAGUGUUUUUUAUUUAUAUAAAUGGAGUAAUCUAAGCCUGUUUUCCUGAAGUUUGUAUUUUUUGCUUGAAAACACAAAAAUACAUAUACUAACAUAUUUCAUCUUAUUGCCUAUACAUUUAUCUGAUUCUUGUUAAUGGCUAGUAUAGUGUUCUACUUUGAAUAUUCUAUAAUUUGUUUUAUUUUAUUUUAUUUUGAGACAGUCUUGGGAGUGCAGUGGCACGAUCUCGGUUCAUUGCAACCUCCACCUCCCGGGUUCAAGUGAUUCUCAUGUCUCAGCCUCCCAAGUAGCUGGGACUAUAGGCACCCACCACCACGCCUGGCUGAUGUUUGUAUUUUUAGUAGAGAUGGGAUUUCGUCAUGUUGGCCAGGCUGGUCUUGAACUCCGUACCUCAGGUGAUCCACCUGGUUUGGCCUCCCAAAGUGCUGGGAUUACAGGUGUGAGCCACCGUGCCUGGCCAGUUCUAUAAUUUUCAAAACUAACUCCCUAUGCAGACAUUUAGGUUAUUUAUCAUUUUCUUUCUGAGAAACAGUAUGUUUGUAAAGAUUGCCUCAUGUUUAGAAAGAUGAUACAAUUCCUGCCAGAAUUUUUUUCUCAAAUGGAAAUGCUUAUUACAAUUAGGAUUAGUAAAUUGUGUAGAGGAAUUCAAGGCUUCCCUUGUAAAGGACAAAAAUGGCUUCGUAUCUAGAGCAGAAUACGUCUUGUAGCCAGGAGUUUCAGACCAGCCAGGGCAAUGUAGGGAGACCCCGUUCAUACCAAAAUAAAUAAAUAAAAAUAAAAAGAAUACAGUCUUUAGGGAAGCAAACCCUUUGAAUACAGUGUGUAUCUCUAGCUGAAACCAGAAAGCAUUAAGCAGCAUUCUUAAGAUUGGGUAAAAGAGUCUUGUACAUUUUUCUUUGCCUAAUUAGAUUCGUCUCUUGGUAUGAUAUUUCUAUGUACUAUGCAGUUUCUACUUUUUUCUUUUAUUAGAAUUUAUUUUUUUCAACUCUACUAUUGUGCUUAGAAAGAGAAAUGAUUUUUCUUCUUUCAUUUUUUUCCUUGGGAUACAAAAACUUUGUUGUUGCUGUUGUUGUUGUUGUUUUAAAGUACAAUUAUUUUCCUUAUUCAAUUUCUAAUCUGUUUACUCUGUACCUGCAAUACCUAUCAAGGUUUAUUUAAAAAUAAAUUAAGAAUAAGUUAAAAUCAAUGAUGAGGGAAAACGAUAUAUACAUAUAUAUUGUAUACAUAUAUAUGUCAAAAUUAGUUUUGUUUCGGUUUCCUUCAGUUAACCAUAGUUAUUUUCUUUUUGAAGCUCAGAUUGUCAUAGAUUGGCUAAUGGCAUUGUCUUUGAGCUGAUUCCUUUGUCCUUUUGACACUAACUCUGGCAGUCUGAAAAGUAUUCUUACUUUCUGGCAGUGCUAGAAAAUACCAGAAUGGUCUUUAUUGUUUUUUUGCCCCAAGACAUGGAGUCAUCUCCCAUCUAGGUUCCUGGUUCCUUUAGUGGAAAGUAAUAUUAGAAACCAAAAUCUGGGCUGGGCGCAGUGGCUCAUGCCUGUAAUCCCAGCACUUUNNNNNNNNNNGCUCAUGCCUGUAAUCCCAGCACUUUUUGGGAGGCCAGGAUGGGAGGAUUGCUUGAGGCCAGAAGUUCAAGACAGGCUGCCCAACAUAGGGGGUCUCACCCUUCUCUACCAAAAUUUUAAAAAUGAGCAUGCAUCUGUAGUCCUAGCUAUUGGGAAGGCUGAGGCAGGAGGAUCAUUUGAGCCCAGGAGUUUGAGGCUGCAGUGAGCUAAGAAGGUGCCACUGCACUGCUGUUGUCUCUCAGCAGAUCAUUUUCAGCUUUCUUUGGAGAGUAGCCAUUAGCAAUGCAAAUGUGAAGUUGGAUAGUACAAUAAAUAAAACACUGAAAACUGUAGAUGUUACUUAUAAAACACUGGCACUCAGAUAAAUUGGGUUUGGUCAAGAAGACAGUGAAGCAUAUCCCUGUUGGGCCAGAGGCUGUUAUCGUUUUGCUCUGAAUUCAAAACCUGAUAUGUCUCCAAAUUUGCUUAGGGUUGUUAUCCUGGAAAAUAGAAUCUGAUAGAAGGUGGGCACCGGUACCAAGUGCAAGGUGGAGGUGAUCAUGGUUAGGGCAAUUGCAUACAGGUCAUGACUGCAUUGGAGUCUCAGGAAAGACUGGUUUAGUGAUUUGGCAAAUCCAAGGCAUGAGUUUUGGGUGGUUUUGUUGUUUUGUCUUAUUUUUCCACCCC